rnacentral:rRNA from 1 species
AUGACCUCAAAUCAAGUAGGACUACCCGCUGAACUUAAGCAUAUCAAUAAGCGG